GCUCGGUUGGUGUAGUCCGGCCAAUCAUUUCGGCCUUUCGAGCCGAUGACCGGGGUUCGAAUCCCCGACCGAGCA
rfam:Halococcus morrhuae DSM 1307 contig_63, whole genome shotgun sequence.